UUACUGAGUGAGGGCCCUCUGGGUCCAACCUCCCACCCGUGUUUAUUGUACCUUGUUGCUUCGGUGCGCCCGCCUCACGGCCGCCGGGGGGCUUCUGCCCCCGGGUCCGCGCGCACCGGAGACACUAUUGAACUCUGUCUGAAGAUUGCAGUCUGAGCAUAAACUAAAUAAGUUAAAACUUUCAACAACGGAUCUCUUGGUUCCGGCAUCGAUGAAGAACGCAGCGAAAUGCGAUAACUAAUGUGAAUUGCAGAAUUCAGUGAAUCAUCGAGUCUUUGAACGCACAUUGCGCCCCCUGGUAUUCCGGGGGGCAUGCCUGUCCGAGCGUCAUUGCUGCCCUCAAGCACGGCUUGUGUGUUGGGCUCCGUCCCCCCGGGGACGGGUCCGAAAGGCAGCGGCGGCACCGAGUCCGGUCCUCGAGCGUAUGGGGCUUUGUCACCCGCUCUGUAGGCCCGGCCGGCGCCAGCCGACAACCAAUCAUCCUUUUUUCAGGUUGACCUCGGAUCAGGUAGGGAUACCCGCUGAACUUAAGCAUAUCAAUAAGCGGAGGAAAAGAAACCAACAGGGAUUACCUCAGUAACGGCGAGUGAAGCGGUAAGAGCUCAAAUUUGAAAGCUGGCUCCUUCGGGGUCCGCAUUGUAAUUUGCAGAGGAUGUUUCGGGAGCAGCCCCCAUCUAAGUGUCCUGGAACGGACCGUCAUAGAGGGUGAGAAUCCCGUAUGGGAUGGGGUGUCUGCGCCCAUGUGAAACUCCUUCGACGAGUCGAGUUGUU
rnacentral:rRNA from 1 species